rnacentral:rRNA from 1 species
UACGGGGGGGGCAAGCGUUGUUCGGAAUUACUGGGCGUAAAGGGCUCGUAGGCGGCCAACUAAGUCAGACGUGAAAUCCCUCGGCUUAACCGGGGAACUGCGUCUGAUACUGGAUGGCUUGAGUUUGGGAGAGGGAUGCGGAAUUCCAGGUGUAGCGGUGAAAUGCGUAGAUAUCUGGAGGAACACCGGUGGCGAAGGCGGCAUCCUGGACCAACACUGACGCUGAUGAGCGAAAGCCAGGGGAGCAAGCGGG